rnacentral:rRNA from 1 species
CCUACGUGAGGCUGCAGUGAGGAAUAUUGGUCAAUGGGCGCGAGCCUGAACCAGCCAAGUAGCGUGAAGGAUGACUGCCCUUCGGGUUGUAAACGUCUUUUAUAAUGGAAUAAAGUGAGGCACGUGUGCCUUUUUGUAUGUACUUUAUGAAUUAGGAUCGGUUAACGCCGUACCAGCAGCCGCGGUAAUACGGAGGAGCCGAGCGUUAUCCGGAUUUAUUGGGUUUAAAGGGAGCGUAGAUGGGUUGUUAAGUCAGUUGUGAAAGUUUGCGGCUCAAACGUAAAAUUGCAAUUGAUACUGGCAGUCUUGAGUACAGUUGAGGUAGGCGGAAUUCGUGGUGUAGCGGUGAAAUGCUUAGAUAUCACGAAGAACUCCGAUUGAGAAGGCAGCUUACUAAACUGCCACUGACAUUGAGGCUCGAAAGUGUGGGUAUCAAACAGGAUUAGAUACCCCAGUAGUC